rnacentral:misc_RNA from 1 species
AGAGUUAAACAGUACGUGAAAUUGUUGAAAGGGAAACGAUUGAAGUCAGUCGUACCGAUGAGCAUUCAGCCUUUUGGGUGCGAUUAUGUGGUACAUGAAAAGAUUUCGUGGAUCGCAUAUUUGUGCAUUUUGGGUGUACUUGCUCGUAUGGUAUGUUAACAUCAAUUUUGGUCGUCAUAAAAUGACGGGAGGAAUGUAGCUUCUCCGGAAGUGUUAUAGCCUCUGGUAGAUGUGAUGAUUGGGAUUGAGGAUUGCAACGAAUACCCUCUGGGCUACCUGCCUGAUCUCUGGUCGUCGCUUUGGUGCUGAAAGCGUGCUUAUGGUUUCAAAGUUAGGUGGCCAAAAGGUUAGAACGGGUUAAUUUCGUUAAGGAUGUUGACGUAAUGGCUUUAAACGA